ACAAUUAAAAGGCAAACUGCACCGAAAGGGCAGGACGCAAAGCCACCGGUCUACGACGUUUUAAUAAAACGUUACGAUAGCGGGGUUGCAUUA
rnacentral:ncRNA from 1 species